GACGAACGCUGGCGGUGUGCUUAACACAUGCAAGUCGAACGGUAAGGCCCUUUCGGGGGUACACGAGUGGCGAACGGGUGAGUAACACGUGAGUAACCUGCCCUCAUCUCUGGGAUAACAGUCGGAAACGGUUGCUAAUACUGGAUAUGAGCUUGCAAGGCAUCUUGUGGGUUGGAAAGAUUUUUUUUGGUUGGGGAUGGACCCGCGGCCUAUCAGCUUGUUGGUGAGGUAGUGGCUCACCAAGGCUUCGACGGGUAGCCGGCCUGAGAGGGCGACCGGCCACAUUGGGACUGAGAUACGGCCCAAACUCCUACGGGAGGCAGCAGUGGGGAAUAUUGCACAAUGGACGGAAGUCUGGUGCAGCAACGCCGCGUGCGGGAUGACGGCCUUCGGGUUGUAAACCGCUUUCAAUUGUGACGAAGCUUUUUUGUGACGGUAGCAGUAGAAGAAGCACCGGCUAACUACGUG
rnacentral:rRNA from 1 species